rnacentral:rRNA from 1 species
AUUGAACGCUGGCGGCAGGCCUAACACAUGCAAGUCGAACGGUAACAGGAAGAAGCUUGCUUCUUUGCUGACGAGUGGCGGACGGGUGAGUAAUGUCUGGGAAACUGCCUGAUGGAGGGGGAUAACUACUGGAAACGGUAGCUAAUACCGCAUAAUGUCGCAAGACCAAAGAGGGGGACCUUCGGGCCUCUUGCCAUCGGAUGUGCUCAGAUGGGAUUAGCUAGUAGGUGGGGUAACGGCUCACCUAGGCGACGAUCCCUAGCUGGUCUGAGAGGAUGACCAGCCACACUGGAACUGAGACACGGUCCAGACUCCUACGGGAGGCAGCAGUGGGGAAUAUUGCACAAUGGGCGCAAGCCUGAUGCAGCUAUGCCGCGUGUAUGAAGAAGGCCUUCGGGUUGUAAAGUACUUUCAGCGGGGAGGAAGGGAGUAAAGUUAAUACCUUUGCUCAUUGACGUUACCCGCAGAAGAAGCACCGGCUAACUCCGUG